rnacentral:rRNA from 1 species
AGCGAACGCUGGCGGCAGGCUUAACACAUGCAAGUCGAGCGGGCGUAGCAAUACGUCAGCGGCAGACGGGUGAGUAACGCGUGGGAACAUACCUUUUGGUUCGGAACAACACAGGGAAACUUGUGCUAAUACCGGAUAAGCCCUUACGGGGAAAGAUUUAUCGCCGAAAGAUUGGCCCGCGUCUGAUCAGCUAGUUGGUGAGGUAACGGCUCACCAAGGCGACGAUCAGUAGCUGGUCUGAGAGGAUGAUCAGCCACAUUGGGACUGAGACACGGCCCAAACUCCUACGGGAGGCAGCAGUGGGGAAUAUUGGACAAUGGGCGAAAGCCUGAUCCAGCCAUGCCGCGUGAGUGAUGAAGGCCCUAGGGUUGUAAAGCUCUUUUGUGCGGGAAGAUAAUGACGGUACCCGCAGAAAAGCCCCGGCUAACUUCGUGCCAGCCGCCGCAGUAAU